GUGUCAGCCGCCGCGGUAAGACAGAGGGUGCAAACGUUGUUCGGAAUUACUGGGCGUAAAGCGCGUGUAGGCGGCUCAGCAAGUCGGGUGUGAAAGCCCUUAGCUCAACUGAGGAAGUGCACUCGAAACUGCGGAGCUUGAGUUCUGGAGAGGAUGGUGGAAUUCUCGGUGUAGAGGUGAAAUUCGUAGAUAUCGAGAGGAACACCGGUGGCGAAGGCGGCCAUCUGGACAGAUACUGACGCUGAGACGCGAAAGCGUGGGUAGCAAACAGGAUUAGAAACCCGAGUAGUCC
rnacentral:rRNA from 1 species